CCUACGGGUGGCAGCAGUGAGGAAUAUUGGUCAAUGGACGCAAGUCUGAACCAGCCAUGCCGCGUGCAGGAAGACGGCUCUAUGAGUUGUAAACUGCUUUUGUACGAGGGUAAACGCAGAUACGUGUAUCUGUCUGAAAGUACUGUACGACUAAGGAUCGGCUAACUCCGUGCCAGCAGCCGCGGUAAUACGGAGGAUCCAAGCGUUAUCCGGAUUUAUUGGGUUUAAAGGGUGCGUAGGCGGUCUGAUAAGUUAGAGGUGAACUGUCGAGGCUCAACUUCGGAAUUGCAUCUGAUACUGGUCGGCUAGAGAAUAGUUGCGGUAGGCGGAAUGUAUGGUGUAGCGGUGAAAUGCUUAGAGAUCAUACAGAACACCGAUUGCGAAGGCAGCUUACCAAGCUACUUCUGACGUUGAGGCACGAAAGCGUGGGGAGCAAACAGGAUUAGAUACCCUAGUAGUC
rnacentral:rRNA from 1 species